CGGACGGUUCAGUAUUUCUUUGUGAUCUCGCAGAGGCGGAGCCCAGAUUGAGCUCCCCGCUGCUCCCCGCUGCUCCGUGGACCGACAGGCUGUGGAAAAAAAAGGCUCCGUCUCGCUGUCGCGUCGCGGGAGGCUGCGACGAUGUGAAGCUCCAUCGUUUUCCCUGGAGCCUGGCAUUAUUAUGCAGGGAGCAAUAAGGGACACUGGACGGAUUAAAGGGGAACAAAGCAGCGGUUUAGAAAACCUUUUACAAACUGGCAGGUCCUGGUGAUGAACGAGAGCUGGAGAUGUAACCUAUAAUGGUCCUCCUUUCUUCCCACACUGAUCGUCACCCAAGUCUGCUCAGAUGGAAAUCCAUCCAUAUCUUUUCCUUUUAAACUAGUGAUAGUGCCAUCUUCUGAGCUGCUGAGAAGGAACCCAGAUAUGAACCUGCAGCCUUUUACCUGCAUAAAUGAAAUGACAUGUACAAGGUUCAAACAGCUUUAUUCACAUCAAGGCAUGUUGUUCAGUCCAUAAUAUGUUCCCUCUUGACUUUACCUCAACAUGUGGGCUUCUUUUUUGUAUCAUUUCCGGUAAGUUAUCAUUUGUGCAUUAUCAUAAAAUGCUUGUUUCAAUUAUUUACAUAGAGUUGCUUUGUCAAGGACAGAUUUCGGAUGUAGCAAUAAUGAAAUGGUCAAGAUCACUAUCAAACACAUCUGUGAGUUCUUUGUUUUUCUAAAACGUGUUAAAGGUUAAGGACACAAUCUGUUCAUACCAUCAAAACCAGAAUAAUAAAAACAAACAUUUCACAA